GCCAAGAGGCAGACCACAGGCCAUCUUGAGGAGGACUCUAUGUUCAAGUGCAGAAAGGGCCCAAUCUGGUGGAUGAACCACACGGCCAGCUUCUGGGUGCAGGCACAGUGCCACAUCUUCUGUCACUUCCUGAUGUGCCCCACCAGCGCUGAAAAGACAGCCUGGAGACAGGGCAAGAGGAAGGCUGAGAAGGAUGAGGUGGUGAGUUCCAGCUUCUUCCUGACUCUGAGCCCACCCCCAGGGUGGCCCUCAACCUUUAGAAGUGGGAGAGCAAAAUUGAAGGCUUCGAGUGCUUCAUCAAGAAGAUGGACAACAGGGCACUCAGCUCAACUUCACAGCCAAUGAGUUGACAUGCAAGUUGAUGAUGGUCAGAGGCUUUAAGAAAGAGCAGCAGAAGGCAGCCAGUUCUUCUUCCGCCUUAGCCAGGUCUUGGAUCUGGAACAGGCCAUCACUUCACCAGAGAUGCCUUCAACACCGUCUGUGAGCUCUUUGCCAAUGAACCCAGCCAGGAAGUGGACUCAGUCAUGGACCUGUUAGUGCUGUCUCAGGGACACCAGACCAACAUCCUGGACAUCAUCCACAUACACAAGGAAGCUCUUACCAAAGUCAUGGAGAGUAGGCAACAUGUGGCAGAAGGGAGGACAGAGGUGCAGAGGCUGAUAACGUCAGAAUCACAGGAACAGGAUUUUUUGGGACACUUUGGCUGAAAUUCACCACUUCCAUCCAAUUUGAGUGAGAGAUAUGAACUCACAGAUGCAGGAUUUCUUGCAACUAGAGAUACUAUUUUUUCAAAAAGUCACCCAGGAAU
rnacentral:lncRNA from 1 species